CAAUAGCGUAUAUUAAAGUUGUUGCUGUUAAAAAGCUCGUAGUUGAAUUUUGGGCACCGACUGUAGGUCCACCUAACGGUGAGUACUUAUGGUUGGGGCCUUCCUUUCUGGAGAUCCCAUCUGCACUUUAUUGGGUGGAUGGGGGAACCAGGACUUUUACUUUGAAGAAAUUAGAGUGUUCAAAGCAGGCUUACGCUUGAAUACAUUAGCAUGGAAUAAUGGAAUAGGACUUUGGUUUUAUUUUGUUGGUUUUCGAAACUGAAGUAAUGAUUAAUAGGGACGGUUGGGGGCAUUAGUACGUACAUGUCAGAGGUGAAAUUCUUGGAUUUUGUACAGACUACCUGAUGCGAAAGCGUUUGUCAAGGACGUUUUCAUUAA
rnacentral:rRNA from 1 species